CAGCACCUCAAGUGGUCAGGAUGAUUAUUGGGCCUAAAGCAUCCGUAGCCGGCUCUGUAAGUUUUCGGUUAAAUCUGUACGCUCAACGUACAGGCUGCCGGGAAUACUGCAAAGCUAGGGAGUGGGAGAGGUAGACGGUACUCGGUAGGAAGGGGUAAAAUCCUUUGAUCUAUUGAUGACCACCUGUGGCGAAGGCGGUCUACCAGAACACGUCCGACGGUGAGGGAUGAAAGCUGGGGGAGCAAACCGGAUUAGAUACCCGAGUAGUCC
rnacentral:rRNA from 1 species